rnacentral:tRNA from 1 species
AUUUUAUUAAUAUAAAAAAUAUAUUUAAUUUCCAAUUAAAAAAUAAAAUA